GGUGUUUGUUAUUAGCUGCACUAUCACUGAUUAAACAGACGAUCUGCUCACCAUCAGAAAACUCUGAGAGAAACAUCACAGUAGGACUGAAGCCCUUCAACAAAAUACACAAACUACUCAAAUAAAACCUGUGUUUCAUUAUUUCAGUCAUAUGAAAGGAAAUUAGUGACUUAACAGACAAAACACUGGUAAUGUUGGGAACCAGUCUCAGUGAAAAGAGAGAAGAGCAACAUUUUCAGAUUUCUGCAACUGUUCUCUGAGUCUUCAGCUCUGAUUGUCUGAAGCUGCUGUGGAUCACAUCUGAUUGUUCCAAACAUGAACUUCAACAUUUUAAAUGUUUCCUCAAACAGCUCAAACCUCUGAUAUACAUGUCAAACACAUAAAGGUUUUUUGAGUUGGAGUCGUCUUAAGACGGUUCAGGACUUCAGAGGAGAUCUUUAGAGAUUCCAGAGAAACACUUCUCCAGUACUGGAUGGUAGAUACACAACAUGUUGCUGCAGUAAGAAGUGAAAUAAAGAAAACUAGAGUUUUCCUCACCUACGGUUGUCACAUGGACAGCAGGUGUCGUCUUGUUUUCUGCAGCCUCUGAUGUGACGCUGAUCAGAUUAACGAACCUUCACAUCAGGCGACAUUAAACCUGAUUUAAAGCCUGAGUGCAGUCUGGAGCCGCCGUCCUCCUGGUCACAUGACCUGCUUGUUACUUGUUUUAUUUUAUGUAUAAAUCACAUCGAUUAUUGAUUAAUUUGACUCUGUUUUUGAUUGGCUGUUGCAGCCUGCGGCCUGUGAUUGAUGUUAAAGAUAAACUGGAAACGCUGCCUUCAUAUCAGACAUUCAAACAUCUCAUUAAGUGUUUAUGUAACUGUGUGACAUUUACUUAAUGCUGCCAUGGUAACCAGAUAUAAUUUAUCUCAAGAGACUUCCUGUUUAAAUAAGUAAAACUGAAACAUGGACAAAUAAAUAAAAAAUGUCUUCA